GCGCCCUUAGCUCAGUGGAUUAGAGCGUCUGGCUACGAACCAGAAGGUCGGGAGUUCGAGUCUCUCAGGGCGUA
rnacentral:tRNA from 2 species